rnacentral:rRNA from 1 species
AAACUUUCAACAACGGAUCUCUUGGUUCCAGCAUCGAUGAAGAACGCAGCGAAAUGCGAUAAGUAAUGUGAAUUGCAGAAUUCCGUGAAUCAUCGAAUCUUUGAACGCACAUUGCGCCCCCUGGUAUUCCGGGGGGCAUGCCUGUCCGAGCGUCAUUG